rnacentral:rRNA from 1 species
UACGGAGGGGGCAAGCGUUAUUCGGAAUUAUUGGGCGUAAAGGGCGCGUAGGCGGCUAGAUGUGUCAAAGGUGAAAUCCCUCGGCUCAACUGAGGAACUGCCUUUGAAACUGUCUGGCUUGAGGCCGGGAGAGGGUAGCGGAAUUCCCAGUGUAGCGGUGAAAUGCGUAGAGAUGUGGAGGAACACCAAUGGCGAAGGCAGCCUUCUGGGCCAACACUGACGCUCAUGCACGAAAGCGUGGGGAGCAAACAGG